rnacentral:rRNA from 1 species
UACGUAGGGGGCAAGCGUUGUCCGGAUUUAUUGGGCGUAAAGAGCGUGUAGGCGGUCAGGUAGGUCCGUUGUGAAAACUCGAGGCUCAACCUCGAGACGCCGAUGGAAACCAUCUGACUAGAGUCCGGAAGAGGAGAGUGGAAUUCCUGGUGUAGCGGUGAAAUGCGCAGAUAUCGGAAGGAACACCUGUGGCGAAAGCGGCUCACUGGACCAUUACCGACGCUGAUGCACGAAAGCUAGGGGAGCAAACAGG